CUUCUUCGCUGAGUUAGUGAUUGGCGGAGAGUAAAUUUACAUUUUUAGGAGUUAGUAUGUCACUAAGUAGCACUGAAAAAGCAGCAAUCGUUGCAGAAUACGCACGUGAAGCA
rfam:Agarivorans albus MKT 106 DNA, contig: contig00018.